rnacentral:rRNA from 1 species
GUCUAUGGCCAUACCACCCUGAACACGCCCGAUCUCGUCUGAUCUCGGAAGUUAAGCAGAGUCAGGCCUGGUUAGUACUUGGAUGGAAGAAAUGUCUAGAGAGAACCCAUUCCCUGCUCACU